UUCUAUAAACUAAGGAAUAAAAUAUACUAUAGUCAGGGGUUAUAUGUUCCAUAACUCCAAUGUUAGCCAUUCAUUAAUUAUUCGAACAUUGAAAGAAAAUAAAAUGCAUCCCUAUAAAUUCAUAACAACUCCUGAACUCCUGGCAGACGAUUUUGAUAGGAGAACGGAUUUUUGGAGAUAACAAUGAGAUCGAAUCAGAGCAUGUCUUGUUUUCUGAUGACUGCACCUCUACAUUUCAUGAUCAUUCCAAUGCUGAUCGCAAAACUGCGGAUUGCGGCCGGAUCAUCGGAAAACUGCAGCUGCCACUAUUGUUCUAAAGAAAAUCGUCACUAGAUAAGAGAACAACAUACUCGGCACCCUAAAAAGGUUAAUGUUUGGGCAGGAAUUGUAGGAGAUCAUAUCAUAAUCGCAAUUUGAAUAGUGAUAAUUAUUUAACACUGCCGAAAUAAUAUCGUGCCAACUUUGUCAAACUUAUAUUCUGAUCCAGUAAACCCACAAGUUCUAGCUAAUAUUAUAUGUAGAAUAUUAUGAAGAAUUCAAAAAUUAAGUAAAGUACAGGGUGGCCACUGUUGCAUGACACAUCCUGUAUAAUUUUUGUUGUUGAAAUAAAUAAGGCAAAUAAUAAAAUAAAAAUAUUUUUUGUAAAUGUUCCUAUUUGCUUAUUAUGGAAUUUAUUCUAUUUGACUGAUACGCACGGUAUAAUCUAAUAAAUAAUGAUGUUCUAUUUAUUCAAUUAAAUACCCUUCCGUUCCACACCGUGCAUAAGACACGAGGUUCACGCUGUGCUGGUCUUAACCGAAAAAAUGCAAUAUUAUAUUUAUUAUUGUUUGGUAAUCUGUUUUAUGAUAGACGGUGUUGUGUCUUGUGAGAGCUUUUCCAGUUUCAACUUAUUUUCAAAGAAGUCCCACGUUGCUGCCCUAAUCCUAGCCAGAGGAGGCUCUAAAGGCAUAAAAUUAAAAAACAUCCAAAAAGUUGGAAAAGAGACUCUCCUGGGAAGAUCUUUGCUAGAGGCUGUUAAAGUCCAUUUCGACUCUGUAUGGGUUUCAACUGAUCACGAGCUGAUUGUACAAGAAGCAAUAAAAAUACCCAAAGUGAACAUCCAUUGGCGUUCAGAGGAAUCAGCAACUGAUUCUGCCUCUUCCCUCUAUGCCACACAAGAAUUUUUAGGAAAACACAAUGAAAUUGAUGUUGUGGGACUUAUUCAAUGCACAUCUCCGUUUUUGAAAGCAAAGUAUUUAGAAAGAGGAUUGGACCUAAUACGGCAGUUUGAAUGUGUUUUUUCAAUUACAAGAUGCUCAAAGCUCCUAUGGAAAAUAACAAACAAUAAAUUAGUGCCAGUCAAUUUUGAUCCCAGUUCACGACCAAGAAGACAAGACCUACAAAAACAAUUUAUGGAAAAUGGUAUGUUUUAUUUUGCUACCAGAAAAAUGGUCAAUAAUGGACAUUUUCAAUCCGAUAGCGUUAAGAACACAAAACUUAACAAUAUGGUAAAGGAAAACUGUUAAGCCGAGAACACACUAUCGGCACGGUACGUCACGUUAUGAGCUAGCGCGUGCCCUAUUAAAAGUGUGGUCUCCAAUUUUGUAUGUCUUUUUAUGAAUCUUUAUCACACACGCUACACGGUAUGGCAUAGCCGGCAAGGUACGUCGACGUCACACAACACGCGUGUCUCGGCUUGUCGUUGAGUUGUGGAAAUCCACACUUUUGACACACGCGUGCUUGGUACGGAAGCAUUUUUACGCAAAAUUGUGUGCAUUUGUCCAGUUAAUUUCCUCAGCUUUAUAAGAAAGAAAUGGAGGAAUUACUGAUUGAAAAAGUACGGGAACACGAGUCAUUAUAUAAUAUUGAAUGUCGAAAUUACAAAAAUAAACAAAUACGUCAAGAAUCUUGGGAAGAAAUUGGUCGGGAUUUGAACAUUUCAGCUACUGACGCAAAAGAAACAUGGGAUGAGCUACGUAAAUGUUACGCUAAUGCUUUAAGUAGACGUCGGGCUACUAAAAGUGGCCAGGCAGCCAAAAAAAUCUUGCCGUUUUUGGAGAACAGAAAAACAUAUACCAAUUUGGAACAGUUUGAAAAAUCUGAAGACAUUUUGCAAGAAGUAUCCGAACCUGAUUUGUUUGAAAACUCCCAAGAAAAUGGAAAUAGGUCAGAUACUUCUGAUCAUGAAGUGGAAGCAGAAGUUUCACAAAACAAACAGCCUGGAUGUUCCAGACAGACUGCUAGUCUUGUUCAAGAGCCUACUAAUCGCUUGGAUCAGUUAAGAAAACAAAAAAAUGUUUCUCAAACUCGAAGUCCAGCGCAACAAAUGGUAGAGAUAAUUAAGAAGAAUUCCGACUUACGACAACAGAAAUAUAAGAAAGUAGAAAAUAAUAUGUUUUUGCCUGGCAUAUCAAAAACGUUUAGCGAUUUGGAUGAAUCAGAUUUUUUUUACCUGAGCAUGUCAAGAACGACUAAAACUUUGCUACAUCUUGAACAAGCAAAGCUAAAGCUUCAAAUAAGCAAUCUUGUUUUGCAAGCUGAAAUAGAUCAUGCACACCAAAAUACUACUAUGGGUACUGAUAACUUUACUACAAAUAAUAAUAAUCCUACUUCGAAUAAUAAUUAUGCCUAGUUAUAUACCAUGUAGCUCCCCUAGUCCUGAAAUGCACCAUUCUGCUUCUGGUUCACAUGAAUUUGUGACUGUUGAAGAACGAAACAAUUUUCAUAUAAACAAUAGAGAACAAACUUCUUUCAAUAAUGGGACUAUGGGGCUACUGCUUUUAAUAGAAAUAAUUCAGUUCCCUCCACAGAAAAAGCUCAAAUAAUAUUUUGUUCUACUCCAAUGUACAGGGUGUCCCAUUAAGAAUGUUCCUCGGCUGUAUCUCAGGCCCCAAUAAUCGUAGAGCGUUGAAAAAAAAAUUAGUAUAAAAGUGUUUUCAUUGGUCAACCGCUAGAGGGCGCUCUAGCUACUUAAGAACUUUAAAGUCUAUUUUUCCAAAAAACC